GAUCUCCUCGAAUGCUUUCUUUCUUGUUUGUCUCUUCUUUCACUCUCGAUACCUCUCAGUCUCGUUCCCUCUCAGUCGCAAUCCCUCUAGAUCUCGAUCGUCAGUUUCACUGUCGAUCUACAAACCCCUCUCAAUCGUCCCAUGCAUCGAUCCAAAUCAAAUUGGAAGAUUUCAGUUAAGUGACUACUCAGUUCCCGUUUUCUCUUCUGAACUCGUCAAUGGCGGCUUUGGUUCUUCUCAAUCAUGCUCAAUCUCUCUCCGUCGGCUCACACGGUUUUAGAUCCAAUUUUAUUUUGAUUUUCGGACAUGAUUAAUCUUGCUUAUCACUUAUCAGACUUGAUAUUGUAAGAACUCUUGUUGAUUAGAAGUGAUGACAUGCCUUUUAUAUUCUUCGUGGAGUUGUAAGAUGAGAAAUUUCAUGAGUACAAUCACUUGUAUCUUUUUGCUCAUGUUUCUUUUUUGAAUCUCUGAUUUUGGUUUCUCAUUGUGAAACAGGGUAAUACAUUCAACAAUUCUCAUUGCAUCACAGACUCAAGGCUCAAUACAUUCAACAAUCUUGGUGAUUCUUCUUCUUUUCCUUGAUUUCAGAUUGAACUUGAUGAUACUUGCUUCAAAGUUUGUAUUGUCUCAUGGAAAUUACACAAAAAAAAAAAAAAAAAAAGAAGAACUUGUGGCUUUACUCAAGAUUGUGAAGCUUUAGAUUCUUGAUUCAAUGACUACUUCCUUUGGAUAUUUAGCUUUAGUGAUUGAAUUUGUGUUUUUUUCAUUUGUUGCAGGUGAGAUAUUUCACUUCAUGCAAUUUACAUUAGGAAAUCUAUCAAAAGGGUUUUGUUAUUUUAUUUUACUCUUGAGAUUAUAGUUGCUAAAUCUGAUGAGUAAAAUUCUUAUAGGGCCAAGCAUGAACUGUUGUUACCUUUGGAUGUUGGUUUUUGUUUUUCUUUGCAGGAGAGAUGUGAGAAUAUAAUCGACUAUGUAAAAAGGCUUAGGCUUUUUUUUUUGUUAAAAAAAAGGCUUAGGCUUUGCAUUAGAUGGUUUCAAGAACUCGAGUUAGCUUACGUCUUUGAGCAAGAGAUGGAGAUUGAUGACAAAGUGAAUCAAACGAGAAAAAAUCUUGUUCGUCUUAGACUUUUUAGGCUAUUAACUCGAUCUGCAACUUUUUAACUCAACCACAUAUAAACUUCUAUGUCA